rnacentral:rRNA from 1 species
CCUACGGGUGGCUGCAGUCGAGAAUCUUCCGCAAUGGGCGAAAGCCUGACGGAGCGACGCCGCGUGCGGGAUGAAGGCCCUUGGGUUGUAAACCGCUGUCAGGGGGGAUGCAGAGCCCCAGAGGAAGCACGGGCUAAGUUCGUGCCAGCAGCCGCGGUAAGACGAACUGUGCGAACGUUAUUCGGAAUCACUGGGCUUACAGGGUGCGUAGGCGGCUUGUUAAGUAGGGUGUGAAAUCCCCCGGCCCAACCGGGGAAUUGCGCUCUAAACUAGCAGGCUUGAGUGAGCUAGGGGUGCACGGAACUUCCAGUGGAGCGGUGAAAUGUGUUGAUAUUGGAAGGAACACCGGAGGCGAAAGCGGUGCACUGGGGCUUACUGACGCUGAGGCACGAAAGCCAGGGGAGCGAACGGGAUUAGAUACCCUUGUAGUC